UAAAAGCAGGACCCUGUAUUAGCUCAGCCCUGCAGAGGCUGAGAUCUUACGAGAGAGACGGAAUGCAAUCAGGCACAUUUGGCUCAGUACAGCCGCAAUUAAGAUGUUUAACACUCAAUAAUCAGAUCAGUAAUUCAAAAACAACAUCAUGCCCGAGAGAAGCAGAAGAUCUUUUCAGGUUGCAUCUGAGAAAGAUCUUCAAACUUGAUGAUCAAACUUCAAACUUAACAUAUAUAUGGUAAUUUUUCAAGUAAAUUAAUAGUGUUUAUGGCUGACAUCCUACAAAUGUCAAACUGUUGUUUUACUUCCUUUUGGCAAGCACGUUAAUAAAAAAGUUCUGUUCCAUAUA